rnacentral:rRNA from 1 species
UACGGAGGGUGUGAGCGUUGUCCGGAUUUAUUGGGUUUAAAGGGUGCGUAGGCGGCCGUUUAAGUCUGGGGUGAAAGCCCGCUGCUCAACAGCGGAACUGCCCUGGAUACUGGAGAACUUGAGUACAGACGAGGGCGGCGGAAUGGAUGGUGUAGCGGUGAAAUGCAUAGAUACCAUCCAGAACCCCGAUUGCGAAGGCAGCUGCCUAGACUGUAACUGACGCUGAGGCACGAAAGCGUGGGGAGCGAACAGG